UAGAUAUGUGUGUAUGUAUGUUUAAAUAUCUAUAGCUAUAUACGUACAUUUACUUACAUCUAUAUUUCUAUACAAAGGUGUAUAGAAACAAGCAGGUCAAAGACUGCCAGUAACUAAAAGACCUUUGCCCAACGUUUAACUCCCCAAACACCGGAGAACUAUCAAAGCUAAAGGCUCAGGCCAAGAGAGUCAGAAACUUUUUCACUGUAAAGUUACCGUUUCUCGCCGUUAAUCUGAGGAUGAAUUUGAUUCCUGCUUCGCUGAUCGUGUUGUGCUGUGUUGUUCUUCAUUGCCAAAGUAUGCGGUUUCACGGGACGCAAACCAUGCACCAGGUUCCACUGGAAAUAGAUGGAAAUAGACAAAGAAGCCUCGCGGACGAUUACGAUACUUCUCGUAUGCGUCAGUUGCUCACGAACUUCAAGCUCCAAAGAAUGUUGAGAAAACGUGCUGACGUGGCAUACAACAGUGAUUAUUUGCUUCUCUUAGAUAAAAUGAAAAACCUAGUUGAUAAACAGGAGUCUGAUGCAUGGAACAAUAAACUUAAAGACCUUGGUAAAUAGUUGUGAGAUCUUCAUAAAACGAAUACCGGUUCUCUAACAAUAUACUGUAAACUUAAAUAUUGCCAAUCUUGUUGAAUGGGAAAAUAAAGGAAAUAUGCAUAAACAUGUA
rnacentral:lncRNA from 1 species